rnacentral:rRNA from 1 species
AUUGAACGCUGGCGGCAGGCCUAACACAUGCAAGUCGAACGAGUGGCAGACGGGUGAGUAAUGUCUGGGAAACUGCCUGAUGGAGGGGGAUAACUACUGGAAACGGUAGCUAAUACCGCAUUCCAUCGGAUGUGCCCAGAUGGGAUUAGCUAGUAGGGGGGGUAAAGGCUCACCUAGGCGACGAUCCCUAGCUGGUCUGAGAGGAUGACAAGCCACACUGGAACGGAGACACGGUCCAGACUCCUACGGGAGUCAGAAGUGGGUAAUAUUGCAAAAUGGGCGCAAGCCUGAUGCAGCCAGGCCGCGUGUAUGAAGAAGGCCCUCGGGUUGUAAAGUACUUUCAGUGCGGAGGCGUUCCCCGUAGAAGAAGUACCGGCUAACUCCGUGCCAGCAGCCGCGGUAAUUC